GCCAUGAACAAGGGAAACGGUGCACUGUCAGUCAGAAAGGGAAUACCGGCUUGGUAAAUGGCGAAAACCUACGAUUAUCUGUUCAAACUCUUGCUCAUAGGCGACAGCGGAGUGGGAAAGACAUGUCUCCUGUUCAGAUUCAGCGAAGACGCGUUCAACACCACCUUCAUCUCAACAAUCGGUAUUGAUUUCAAAAUCAGAACUAUCGAGCUCAACGGGAAGAAAAUCAAGCUGCAGAUAUGGGACACAGCAGGACAGGAAAGAUUUCGGACUAUCACCACGGCAUACUACAGAGGCGCUAUGGGGAUUAUGUUAGUAUAUGACAUCUCCAGUGAAAAGUCAUUUGAGAAUAUAAAAAAUUGGAUCCGCAAUAUCGAGGAGCAUGCAUCAUCUGAUGUAGAGAGGAUGAUCCUUGGAAACAAAUGUGACAUGAACGACAGGAGACAGGUGUCCAAAGAGAGAGGAGAGAAAGUCCUCGUGGUGGCGUGGUUACUCACCUCAAUCCGGGUGGCGGAGGACAAGUCUCAGUUGCCUCCGCUUCUGAGACAGUAAAUCCGUGCAUCUUAUCACAUGGCUCGCUGUGCAUGACACCGUGGAGACUCACAGCAUGUGGAGACUCAUGCUACUCUCCGUGAUCCACGCACAACUUACCACGCGCCCCAUUGAGAGCGAAAACCACUUAAUCGCGACCACGAGGAGGUUACCCUAUGUGACUGUACCCUCCCUAGCAACGGGGCCAAUUUUGAUGCAUAGGAGACCUGGCUGGAGUCACUCAGCACACCCUAGAUUCGAACUCGCGACUCCAGGGGUGGUAGUCAGCGUCAAUACUCGCUGCUACCCAGGCCCCCCAAUUUUCUUACUCUCAAUUAAUAACUCUCAGUACAAAAUGUUAUGUACAAUAACCGUAUAUGGGUCAAUAACAUGGUGCUCACUUUAUUCAAAAGUACAUUAAAUAUGGAAUUCACACAAAAAAAACUUGAAUACACUUAUACUAUGAUGUGCUUUCAAUUUCUGACUUGACAAAGUCAUUUUUAUAUUGCUUCUGGGGGAUAAAAUAUUUUUUUUAUUUUUCCCUUUUUUCACCCAAUUUGGAAUGCCCAAUCCCCAGUGUGCUUGUUUAAGUCCUUGUGGCCACAUAGUGAUUGGCCUCAAUCCGGGUGGCAGGGGACGAAUCCCAGCUGCCUCUGCGUCUGAGACCGUCAACCCGUGCAUCUUAUCACAUGGCUUGUUGAGCACGUUGCCAUGGAGACAUGGCGCGUGUGGAGGCUUCACGCUAUCCACCGUGGCAUCCACACUUAACUCACCACACCACACCACACCACACCCCCCACUGAGAACUAACCACAUUAUAGUGACCACGAGGAGGUUACCCCAUGUGACUCUACCCUCCCUAGCAACUGGGCCAAUUUGGUUGCUUAGGAGACCUGGCUGGAGUUGCUUAUCACGCCCUGGGAUUCGAACUAGCGAACUCCAGGGGUGGUAGCCAGCGUCUUUACUACUGAGCUAUCCAGGCCCCCUAAAAUCGAAUAUUUCUAAUACCGCUGUGGCCAGACAGUUUGGUGUAACCUUCCAGAGACAGUAAAAAAAUAAAAUAAAAUAAAAAAUAAAUAAAAGGAAAAAAAUUCAUUAAAAGCUGAAAUUCUUGAGAAAAUACAUUUUGGCACAUGUAGUUUGAAAUAAUCUUUUGUUAUUAUUCCUAAAAAAGCAGUGAAACACUAAUUAUUAAGCUCAGUUGACAGCAUUUGUGGCAUAAUGUUGAUUACCACAAAAGUUAAUUUUGACUUGUCUUUUCUUUAUAAAAAGCAUAAAUGGGUGGGGUAUCCAACAUGUAGGUAGCCAUUUUGUUGUCAUGAAAAAAAACAAACAAAAAAACCCCCAGAGAGGACCCCUUUUGACCCUUAUAAAUAUGUGUGAAGUUUUUUUAAUUUUUUUUUUAUUAUUCGAUAUUUUGACAUUUUUAUCAACGGGCACAUUUGGUUUAGGUCAAAUGGAGGAACCCUGAGAAAACUUUAAUACAUUUUACUUGAUGGCUACACCACUUGAUAUUUUUAAAGUCAUUAAAUAGAUUUUUUUUGGUUUUCCAAAAAUGUAUGAAACCAACAUUGGACACAAACAUUGACAUGUUUUAAACUAGGUUUUUUAAAAAGAUUUCUCAUUGUUGUCAUCUCGGACAACCAUACUUGUCAAAGACCCAUUCAGCACUUAAAAUAUGUAACAUAUUAACCUGGAUCUUUUUGUGAGAUUUUGUAAUUUACUACUUUUUGCCUUUAUUGAGAAUUACAUGCUUAUGUUUGUUAUAAAUUAUGGUGUAAUUGUUUGUGGAAGCUAAAUUUUUUUUAUUUUACUUAGUUGGCAAUAGAUUAUGGGAUAAAAUUUCUGGAAACAAGUGCAAAAACCAGUGUAAAUGUGGAGGAGGCCUUUUUCACCCUAGCCAGAGACAUCAUGGCCCGACUCAACAGGAAAAUGAAUGAUGGCGGUCAUGCAGAUGGUGGGGGG